UACGAAGGGGGCUAGCGUUGCCCGGAUUUACUGGGCGUAAAGGGCGCGUAGGCGGACAGUUAAGUCGGGGGUGAAAGCCCGGGGCUCAACCUCGGAAUUGCCUUCGAUACUGGCUGUCUUGAGUACGGGAGAGGUGUGUGGAACUCCGAGUGUAGAGGUGAAAUUCGUAGAUAUUCGGAAGAACACCAGUGGCGAAGGCGACACACUGGCCCGUUACUGACGCUGAGGCGCGAAAGCGUGGGGAGCAAACAGGA
rnacentral:rRNA from 1 species